ACAUGUGUGUGUUCUCCGUGACAUUCUUGAAGUUGUGAGUAAUUAGAUUGUUUUUUGCUGCGUUUAGGUUGUACCACCUCGUUGUUUUCGUGUACUUUUGUGCUCAUCGACGCGAAGUGAGCGUCCGGAGUGAAGGCGACGCGAUUAUGCGUGAGGAAGAAGGGCACCAGCGGCCUACGACAUCGGUGUUUCUUUGUGACAGUGUGUUUACUACGCCUACGACGGCCGUCAUUCGUGGCGAAGGAGAAAACAUCUUCCAUUCGGCCUGAACAAUGAUGAAGUGGACGUUUUGUUUUUCGGCGGAAUGCAUCGUCAGCAUGGUCCAUCCACUACGUAAACGAAACGGCGUGCCCAGAGUACAGAUCGUGACAGCGCUCCGCCUUCAAACCGAGGGCCUUUUGCAAGGCGCAUGAACUGCUCAUAUAAAAGUUGCAGUCAGCAUGAAGCAAUUGCGUGGGAACGGACUGGCUGUCUUGGGCCUACACGUUGCUGAAAAGACAGUGAAGACGUCUGACCCGACAGGUAGAAAAGAAGCAGAUGGCUACAGUGAUCAAUGAAGAAAUGGCUUCAUCUAUGAUGGCUCGCCUUAGGACAUUGGAAUGGAGCUACGAAAAGGCGUCAUCAUCCUCGCCUGUGCCCUGGAACUUUGGUUUGAACGAGACUGUUCUUCAAUGUAGAACGGCCGCAAGACUUGUCACCACAAGGCAUAGUGCAAGCUCAAAAUAUUGUACAGGAGGCUAGAAUAAAUGAC